rnacentral:sRNA from 1 species
UUUCCAUACUUGAACCUGGAAAUAAAUGGGUCAACACAUUUUAAACAGACUCCAACACGAUGGCCAACUACAGUUACUUGUUCACACCCAGAGCUGUUCCCUAUAACUACCAGACUGUCCCCGAGGCGCUGAAAAUCCAGGCUGGGAAAUUCCCAAACCACGAAAUCUUGGUGUUCAGGAAAAUAGACGGAUGGCGAGAGACCUUAACUUACAAAGAUCUCUACGCCCAAGCUGUGAAAAUGGCGAAAUGUUUGGUAGAAAAGGGAAUUAAAAAGGGGGACAGGGUCGCGCUGUACGGUCCAAAUACAAUACAAUGGGUGGUAGGAGAGAUUGCUAUAAUAAUGGCAGGUGGUGUUGUUGUUCACGUGACCAGUAGUGUCAAGGACGCCAGCGACCUACAAGAAAUUUUGGCGGUGGCACAGUGCCGAGGGAUACUAAUUGACCCAGGGGCGAACGGAAUGCAUCGUGAUUUCAUCUCAUGUUUUCUACAAUCACCCAAUCCUUUCAUUUUUGUGUUUCUUAGAGGAACAGGAGAGUUUGGAGAUUAUGAUAAUCUGCCAUCUAUCGUUGAGAAAGAGGAAACGGAUACCGAGCUACCCAAACUGUCCCCAGAAGAUGAUAUUCUAGUGUUUACGACAUCUGGAAGCACCGGGAAACCCAAGAUGAUUUGUCAUUCUCACUUUGGUGUCCUUAAUAACGCUUAUUUUCAAGGACCUGAUCGGCCACUGACGCUGUACAAUGACCGACCGUUUGGAUGGAUCAGUGGGUCCCCCCUCGUCAACAUCGCUUAUGGGACCACACGGGUGUUUGCCGACUCCUCGGUUGGGGUCAAGGGAGGCGAUCCAAUGAAGAUUUGGAGCCUAAUCAAAGAGGAAAAUUGUUCCCAUGCACUUUUAAUGCCAUACUACCUCGCUGAUCUAAUUGGCUGUAAAGACGAUUAUAAAGACGUGUACCUGUUACACGCCAUCUUACUCGGAGGGCAGGUCAUUGACCAGUCGUAUAGCCAGGUCAUCGGGAUUUAUUCAUAAACCCUCUGUAUUGGUUAUGGUCUGACCGAAAACGGCGGAGUAACAACGCUUUGGCCUGAUAUCCGCAGAGGAGACAAGAUAGUCAUGGGGGACGUCGGUGUUCCUUGUGAGGGUGUUGAAAUGAAAAUCAUCGACGACACCGGAAGUACCUUACCACGUGAUCAACCCGGAGAGCUUUGUAUGAGGAGCCGAGUAGCUUUCCACGAGUACUACAAAAACCCCGAGGCGACUCGUGCGACCUUCAUUGCUGGUGGAUGGUUCCGUUCGGGAGACAUCGCGGUUAUUACACAAAAUGGCAGGAUUGUUAUCAAAGGUCGAAUAAAGAAUGUUAUAUCUCGGGGCACAAGAAAGAUUUUCCCGGAUGCGAUAGAAAAAGUGGUCAAUGAGAUGGACGGAUUAUCGCAUGUCGUCGUUGUCGCUGUACCGGACAAACGCCUGUAUGAAGAAAUAUGUGUCUGUUUCGUAGCAAAACCUCAAAUCGAUGUCACAGAAGAUGACGUCAAAGACUUUUGUGCUCAACAUUUUGACGUUAAGAAUGCCGCAGACGGAUUUGGUGAAAUGCCGACAUAUUUUCUUAAAUUCGAAAAAUUUCCAAUGCUCGAUUCAGGAAAACCCGAUAAAAAGGAAAUGCAGACCGAGGCAGUCCGUCGUCUUGGUAUCCGAUAGGAUAAAAGACAUCUUAAAUAUUUCAUUUUUGUU